AGCCCUGAGUCCUUUUGUUCCUGUUUUGAUAUUGCAUUUUUGUGUAUUGUGAAUUAUUACCAUUGGUAAUAAAUUCCUCUUUUUGUACUCCAGCGCCGUGUGUGUUAAAUCUGCAUCUAGGAAUCCAGAACUCGGCUUAGCCAUUCUUGACAAUGAGACCAGAUUAGCGCAUCUCGCGGCAUGGCCGGUACAUCUGACAGUAAUUCUGAUUUUCUUUACAAGCUUGUGUUUGUGGAUGUCUUUUCCUCUUGGAUAGUUGCCAAGAUGAGAGCUUGACACAAGCGUCCAGUUUGGGAAGGAAAGACGUAGGAUUUCACCCAAAAACCUUAUCUGGUUAACCGCUGACGCUGUUUCAUCCUCCAAAGUCCAAACAUAAGAGGAGCAGUUGGCAACACGUUACUGUUGUGUGUCAAGUGUUUGCCGCUGCAGCUCGCUGGGGUGGAUAUCUGCUCUAAUUGAUACCAACAUCAAGAAUGGGAUAUUCUGAUAAUUUUUUUUCUGACUGAUUUGGUUGAAACAACUGAUUGAUUCGGCAGUAAGCAACUAUGGUGCAUUCACUGACCGCCAAGAAAGUGCUAAAGCUCGACGCUUGAUGAACAAACAUGAUCAGUGAAGCAUGAAGACAUCCAGCUGGCAACGAGUGGAGACCUGCCCUCCUGUUCAGAGGGAUCCACCUAACCUGACAUUCAGGAAUGCAUCGGCAUGUCGAGCGUGAAAUCCAAACAAUGUCACCUCUGAGCUUGGAAGAGCUCUGAACUCUUGGGACUAGUAGUAAUGGUGGUCCGAGUGUUUCCAGUUGAAGAUGUGCAUUAUCUAAACUUAGCCUCUUCUUGCAAAACAAAACCAUCAAGCUGCCAUCUCCCGCGUCUGUUGUCGACUGACUGAAUUUGGCAGAGCUCCAUUUUAACAUGUGUAGCGAAGCCUGUUCGUCCAGCAUGUCACAUGGAGCAUGUCUUCCCAGCUCCAUGUUUCCACUUGCUGUCAGCGUCCUACAUGGCGAACGGCAGCAGUAAGACCGUAAAAGGAACAUUUGAAGACAAGCGUCUUGUCAGCGUGACUCCGACUGCACGCGACCUCUGACUUAUGACCUCAUGAUGGCGCUGCCAGAGGCCAACCCCUUCAGUGUGGGGCGAGGUUGUCCAAAGGCUUUUCCAACGGCAGCACAGGUGCAGGAGAUAUGCAAAGAAGAAAGCUUUGUCAUACAAGUGACAUGUCUGACCCAUCAUCAUCAACUUCACUCCUUUUUAUCAACAGUCUUUGCACAUUUUAAAGGUUUGUUUCUCAUUAUUCCGACUUUAAAAACAAUGUUUUCUUCUUGAAUAUUUCAACUCUAUGCUACUAAAAUGACCUCAUAACAAUUGUGACUUUUCUUGUUAAAAUACAACUUUUUUUCUCUUAAUAUUUUGGACAUUUUGCUUCAAUUCCUGUUUUUCUUGAUUGACAUGUUUUAUAUUAUUUCAACUUGUUCUUGCAAAUUUUCUUCUCGUACCAUUUGAUGGGACUUUAUUCCCAUCAUAUUUUAACUUACCCCCCAACCUAAUUUUCCAAAAAUGACAAUUAUACUUUUUAGUGGUGUCCGAUAUUAAGAGGGAGCUGCCAACCCUCCCUCACUGAUCAGGUGUAUGCCCCGCCUACACACUCUCACUUGUCUAUUUGUGUACAAUGUAUCUACAGGUAGUUUCUUAUGACAUUUUGGUUAGUCCUUUAUUUAUAUUAUAUCUAUUUGCCAAUUAAUCUUUGUUAACUGCUAAUGAUUGGAUCCUUAAUUAGUUAGUUUUCCACAUCGAGGUUAUUGGUUGUUUCUAAUGUCUCAUCAGUUUCUCCCUUCUUUGAGGUGAUUGGUUGACGCACAAGCAUGGAAGCGCGCCCAUGUGAGUGCAGGCCAGGUGCAUGUCAUCACUCUGAUUGGACUCUCCCAAGUUUCACCCGGAGGAGGGCAGGGUUAACUAUGCAGUUCUUUUUGUAAAGAUAGUUACAAACUGUAUAAUAUAGAGGUUAACGUAUACAGAAAUUAAAAUCUAAAUGAAGUAACAUUAAAAUGCAUUUGUAACAUAAAGGAAGGAUCUGGAAAAUGUAAAUAUGACUUGUGUAGCAACUACCUCACCCUCGCAUUAAGCCGUUAUGGUUGGGCUCUCACUAUAUAUGGGGGUCUGGUUGAAUUGGUGUGUGGCCUGUUGUGUGUGCUGAUGGAAAAAAAAAAAAAAAAAAAAUAAUAAUAAUAAUAAUAAUAAUAAUAAUAAUGCUGUUGGACUGUCUUGUGGUACGUGGAAUAAAUGUGAUGAGCUCGCAACCUCAGCUUCUGGUGUAUACUUCAGAUGCUACGGCUAUCCUGGGCUAGUAAGAGGCCAUUUUUAUAACUGGAAAUCUUACAGUCUGUAAAAAUGUUACCUUUUCAUAGGAUAUAUUUUAUUGGUACACAUCAGUAUUUCAACUUUAUGCUACUACAAUGACAUGCACUUUCUUCCUCAUAGUGCACGUUUAUUCUCGUACAAUCCCAGCUUUUUUUCUAGUUAAAAUACGUCUUUUUUGACUUUAUUCUCAGAAUAUUAAAAUGUUUUCCCCAACCUAAUUUCCCCAAAAUUACAGCUGCAUUUGGUUCUGUUUCUUAUAAUAUUUAGACUGUUAAGAAAUAUAGAUUUUUUUUCCUCAUAAUGUUAGUUUAUUCUCAUAAAAUGGAGAC